ACAGCAGCAGCCGCGGGAAUACGUAGGUGGCAAGCGUUGUCCGGAAUUAUUGGGCGUAAAGGGCUCGCAGGCGGUUUCUUAAGUCUGAUGUGAAAGCCCCCGGCUCAACCGGGGAGGGUCAUUGGAAACUGGGAAACUUGAGUGCAGAAGAGGAGAGUGGAAUUCCACGUGUAGCGGUGAAAUGCGUAGAGAUGUGGAGGAACACCAGUGGCGAAGGCGACUCUCUGGUCUGUAACUGACGCUGAGGCUCGAAAGCGUGGGGAGCGAACAGGAUUAGAUACCCGUGUAGUCCCUGUCUCUUAUAC
rnacentral:rRNA from 1 species